CGCGUAGGAAUCUACCUAGUGGUGGGGGAUAGCCCGGGGAAACUCGGAUUAAUACCGCAUACGCUCUAAGGAGGAAAGCGGGGGAUCUUUAGACCUCGUGCCAUUAGAUGAGCCUGCGUAAGAUUAGCUAGUUGGUGGGGUAAAGGCCUACCAAGGCGACGAUCUUUAGCUGGUCUGAGAGGAUGAGCAGCCACACUGGGACUGAGACACGGCCCAGACUCCUACGGGAGGCAGCAGUGGGGAAUUUUCCGCAAUGGGCGAAAGCCUGACGGAGCAAUACCGCGUGAGGGAGGAAGGCUU
rnacentral:rRNA from 1 species